rnacentral:lncRNA from 1 species
UAGUGUGAUUUCAUCUUUGCCUAAGUUGAUCGUAUGAAAGCGUCUUUCAUUUGAGAGGUAUUGAAGUUGAAAGUUAUCUUUCGAUCUUUCGGGAACCUGAAAAGUAGCAACACAAGAAAAAUUCAUAUCUUGGUUAGUGGAAACAUUCCUCACUACCCUUUCCACGUCUUUUUCUUUUGUUUCUUUUUCUAAUUCAUUUUCUCUUCUUUCUUCAAUUUCUUUUUCACUCCCAAUCUCUUUUUGCUCUUUUUCAUUCUCUUUUUCUUUUUCCUCACUUGUUUUAACAGAAUUUUUCAGUUUGAUUUGGUCCUCAUGGACUUGUUCCAGAAUGAGCGGCACUAAGGUGAGUUUCUUUCCUUGAUGCUUGAAAGAAUACCUAUUGGUACGACCAUCGUGAGUGACUUUUCGAUCCAGUUGCCA